rnacentral:misc_RNA from 1 species
GAUGAAGAACGCAGCGAAAUGCGAUAAGUAAUGUGAAUUGCAGAACUCAGUGAAUCAUCGAAUCUUUGAACGCACAUUGCGCCCCCUGGCCUUCCGGGGGGCAUGCCUGUCCGAGCGUCAUUACAACCCUCAAGCUCAGCUUGGUGUUGGGCCCCGCCGCCCCGGCGGGCCCUAAAGUCAGUGGCGGUGCCGUCCGGCUCCGAGCGUAGUAAUUCUUCUCGCUCUGGAGGUCCGGUCGUGUGCUCGCCAGCAACCCCCAAUUUUUUUCAGGUUGACCUCGGAUCAGGUAGGGAUACCCGCUGAACUUAAGCAUAUCAAUAAGCGGAGGA